rnacentral:rRNA from 1 species
UACGUAUGGGGCGAGCGUUGUUCGAAAUUAUUGGGCGUAAAGGGCGUCUAGGCGGGGGAUUAAGUUGGGUGUGAAAUCCAUGGGCUCAACCCAUGAACUGCAUCCAAAACUGGUUCUCUUGAGUUCGGGAGAGGAGAGCGGAAUUCCAGGUGUAGCGGUGAAAUGCGUAGAUAUCUGGAAGAACACCAGUGGCGAAGGCGGCUCUCUGGCCUAGAACUGACGCUGAAGCGCGAAAGCGUGGGGAG